UACGAAGGGGGCUAGCGUUGCUCGGAAUUACUGGGCGUAAAGGGCGCGUAGGCGGACAGUUUAGUCAGAGGUGAAAGCCCAGGGCUCAACCUUGGAAUUGCCUUUGAUACUGGCUGUCUUGAGUUCGGGAGAGGUGAGUGGAAUGCCGAGUGUAGAGGUGAAAUUCGUAGAUAUUAGGAAGAACACCAGUGGCGAAGGCGGCUCACUGGCCCGGUACUGACGCUGAGGCGCGAAAGCGUGGGGAGCAAACAGG
rnacentral:rRNA from 1 species